AUUUAUUUUGUAUUUAAUCGCGCUCCAACCGAUAAUUUAAAUAAAACGCUAUUGUUAAAUUUGUUAAUAAAAGUUCGGGGAAAUAUUUCUAUAACGCCUUCGCAGCCACCGGAACAUAAUAAAACUUAUUAUUGCUUGGGUGUUUUGCCGUAUAAAUAUUACGGCGCUAAUUUAUUGCAAGCCUUUUAAUUGUAAAAACGCAUAGGGAAACUGGGUAUUUUGUUUUAAAUAUAAAUGUCGCGAUAAGAUUGCUGGAUGUAAUGAAAGAUGGAAGUUGGAAACUAUUUAACUGUACUACUGCCUUUGUAAAUUUUGUUUUUUAAAGAGAAUAUAAAAGCAUUUUAUUAGGAAAGAAAAACAGUAAAAUUACAAAUGAAAAUAAAAAUUGGGAGAUUAAACGGGUCCAAAUAUCCAUUUACGCCGGGGAUAAAAAUAUAAAUAAUUAAUACCCGCAUAAAUUUCGGCUGGAUAAUGUCCAAUUUUAACAACUCUUUACCGAAUUAAAUAUAUUGUUACGGCCAUUUUAAUUGCAAUAUACGUUACCACCAGUCGCAGUUGUUAAUAUAACAGUUAUACGUAUCUUUAUAUCGCUAUUUAGCCGAAAGAGAAACAGUCGAGAAAAAAAAAAAAAGACAAAAAACCGAAUUUCUGCGCCGUUCAACUUUUAACAUCUGAAAUAUUUAAAAAAGGAAGACGUGCCAGGUUUGGAAAAGGUGAAAAAAGAUGUUAUAAUUUAGGCGCUCCAUUACGCAUACCACUGCCAUUAAAUGGUUUGUUAAUUAUAAAUUAGAUUUGUUAGUUAAAUAGCCUUUUUAUAUAAACAGUUUUCACACCUCGCGGAAAAUAUUAAAGGUAUGGUAGCGUUUUCAGCAAUUAUAACGACCGGGAUAAUAUUAGUAACGUCCAUUGGGUCCAGGGAAGCCGUCGCGACACCCACCCCCUGCCCACCGACGGAGGUAAAGGCAUUUUUACCACCGUUAAUAUUAUAUUUAUUUGACGGGGAGCCUAUUACUAUUACAGGGGCAAAGUUACGGGAUUGUAAUAUAACGUUACAGGUUUUGAAAAAAGCUGCCCCGCCGCAAUUUGGGGGAGGUUACCUCCCAAAAGACUUUGCUUUGAAAGAGGAUAUAAUUUUUAAGUUUCCCCUAACAGGUAAAAUUUUGCUGCGACCAUUUAAUAUGGAUUUAAAAACGUUUGGACAAUUGGAUGGUUUACAAUCUGUGGUUCGUUACCCAGUUAUUCUUUAAAAUACCGGGUUAUUUGGCAAUUUGGACAAGAGUAGCUGGGCGGAUAACGUCGACUAUAUUUAUAAAUAUGGAGCAAAAGCCAAUUGUAAUUACCCGUGGUACCGUCCAUUUUUCGACGAACCCCUAUAAACUUUAAUGGCCUGAACGAAAGGUGUUUAUAUAAAAAGGUCGCUUUAAAUUUAACUAUAAUAAGAAAAAAAUCAGCUGUGGACUUUGUGUAAUUUAAAAAUUUAGCAAAGGCAGGAGCUGUAAAGGUAUAUUAACCUUAUAUAUUAUAUGCUAAUGCGGGAUUGUUAAACAUAUUGCAAAUAAUU
rnacentral:sRNA from 1 species